rnacentral:rRNA from 1 species
GACGAACGCUGGCGGCGUGCCUAAUACAUGCAAGUCGAGCGAAGUUUUUCCGGUGCUUGCACCGGAAAAACUUAGCGGCGAACGGGUGAGUAACACGUAAAGAACCUGCCUCAUAGACUGGGACAACUAUUGGAAACGAUAGCUAAUACCGGAUAAUAGCAUUAACUGCAUGGUUGAUGUUUAAAAGUUGGUUUUGCUAACACUAUGAGAUGGCUUUGCGGUGCAUUAGCUAGUUGGUGGGGUAAAGGCCUACCAAGGCGACGAUGCAUAGCCGACCUGAGAGGGUGAUCGGCCACACUGGGACUGAGACACGGCCCAGACUCCUACGGGAGGCAGCAGUAGGGAAUCUUCCGCAAUGGGCGAAAGCCUGACGGAGCAACGCCGCGUGAGUGAAGAAGGAUUUCGGUUCGUAAAGCUCUGUUGUUAGGGAAGGAUGAUUGUGUAGUAACUAUACACAGUAGAGACGGUACCUAACCAGAAAGCCACGGCUAACUACGUG